rnacentral:rRNA from 1 species
GAUGAACGCUGGCGGCGUGCUUAACACAUGCAAGUCGAGCGAGAAAAGUUCUUCGGAGCUUUUCUAGCGGCGGACGGGUGAGUAACACGUGGGCAACCUGCCUCAUAGAGGGGAAUAGCCUUCCGAAAGGACGAUUAAUACCGCAUAACAUUGUUGAAAGGCAUCUUUUGACAAUCAAAGGAGCAAUCCGCUAUGAGAUGGGCCCGCGGCGCAUUAGCUAGUUGGUGAGGUAACGGCCCACCAAGGCGACGAUGCGUAGCCGACCUGAGAGGGUGAUCGGCCACAGUGGAACUGAGACACGGUCCAGCCUCCUACGGGAGGCAGCAGUGGGGAAUAUUGCACAAUGGGGGAAACCCUGAUGCAGCAACGCCGCAGGAGUGAUGAAGGUCUUCGGAUUGUAAAGCUCUGUCUUUAGGGACGAUAAUGACGGUACCUAAGGAGGAAGCCACGGCUAACUACGUGCCAGCCGCCGCGGUAAAAC